rnacentral:rRNA from 1 species
GGAUUCCCCUAGUAACGGCGAGUGAAGCGGGAUGAGCUCAAAUUUGAAAUCUGGCUGGUUUACUAGUCCGAGUUGUAAUUUAAAGAAGCGUUUUCGGUGGCAGCCUGGGUAUAAAUCCUUUGGAAUAGGGUAUCAUAGAGGGUGAGAAUCCCGUCUUUGACCUAGUGCAUGCUACUAUGUGAUACGUUUUCAAAGAGUCGAGUUGUUUGGGAAUGCAGCUCAAAAUGGGUGGUAAAUUUCAUCUAAAGCUAAAUAUUGGCGAGAGACCGAUAGCGAACAAGUACCGUGAGGGAAAGAUGAAAAGAACUUUGAAAAGAGAGUUAAACAGUGCGUGAAAUUGUUGAAAGGGAAACGUUUGACACCAGUCAUGUGGGUGGAAAAUCAGUCUUUUGCAUUGGGGAGUUGUAAAGGUUCGGACCGCAAGGCCGGCUUUUGCUUCAUCUUUGGUGUAAGGGAUGCACUUUUUCAUCUACAGGUCAACAUCAGUUUCUUUUGCUGGACAAAACUCCGAGAGAAGGUAGCAGCUUAGGCUGUGUCAUAGCUCUGGAGCGAUACAGUGAAGGGGACUGAGGUUUUCGCAGCGUGUGCUCUCGGGCAAGGCUGGAUGGGUGCUGUGGGAUCGUUCGGGGUACAAUGCCUGGCAUUUUGCUUCGUGUCUUUUCUAUACUCGCUCAACUCAGCUCUUCCACGCUUAGGAU